CGCGCAGGCGGCGUCGUAAGUCGGUCUUAAAAGUGCGGGGCUUAACCCCGUGAGGGGACCGAAACUGCGAUGCUAGAGUAUCGGAGAGGAAAGCGGAAUUCCUAGUGUAGCGGUGAAAUGCGUAGAUAUUAGGAGGAACACCAGUGGCGAAAGCGGCUUUCUGGAUGACAACUGACGCUGAGGCGCGAAAGCCAGGGGAGCAAACG
rnacentral:rRNA from 1 species